UGAGACAGAGAUCCACUCCAUCCUUCCAACAGGCAAGCAAGUCCAGUGGAAUUGUACCCUUCCAGUGUCCUACUGCAAAGCAGACCUUGAUGAAUCUUCGGAUGCUGCAGACUAUCUUCCAGACUCAUGUGGCAAUUCCUCGGAUGCUUCUAUUAUAAGUACUAAAAGUUCUUGUAGUAAGGAAUAUAAAACCACAGAAAAGAAUCUCCACCACAAAUUGUCAGAGAACACACCAUUAGGGAAUGUUACAGCACACAGUGGGGAUAGUACC